GGGGCGGUGGCGGAAUUGGCAGACGCAGGGGACUUAAAAUCCUCUGGGGUUCCCCCCGUGUGGGUUCGAGUCCCACCCGCCCCA
rnacentral:tRNA from 1 species